GACGAACGCUGGCGGCGUGCUUAACACAUGCAAGUCGAACGAUGAAGCCGGAGCUUGCUCCGGUGGAUUAGUGGCGAACGGGUGAAUAACACGUGAGCAAUCUGCCCUUGACUCUGGGAUAACUGCGGGAAACUGUAGCUAAUACCGGAUACGACACCUUGGGGCAUCCCAGGGUGUGGAAAGAAUUUCGGUCAAGGAUGAGCUCGCGGCCUAUCAGCUAGUUGGUGGGGUAAUGGCUCACCACGGCGACGACGGGUAGCCGGCCUGAGAGGGUGACCGGCCACACUGGAACUGAGACACGGUCCAGACUCCUACGGGAGGCAGCAGUGGGGAAUAUUGCACAAUGGGCGAAAGCCUGAUGCAGCAACGCCGCGUGAGGGAUGAAGGCCUUCGGGUUGUAAACCUCUUUUAGCAGGGAAGGAGCGAAAGUGACGGUACCUGCAGAAAAAGCACCGGCUAACUACGUGCCAGCCGCCGCCGUAA
rnacentral:rRNA from 1 species